UAAAACCUUUUGCUGAAUCCAAAUUUUGGAACGGGGGAACCAUUUAUGUAGUUUAGGCUACUUGGGGCGAAUCUUUAUGAAGUAGGGAACUCUCACUUCCCGAGUCCGACAGCUAACCUCGUAAGCGUAAUGGGAGAGGGAAG
rnacentral:sRNA from 2 species